rnacentral:rRNA from 1 species
CCGAGUAUCUAAUGAGCUGUAUAAAUAUUGUUUAGAACCCAUAAACUUAUGUUUCAAUAUAAGUUAAAAAUAUUUAUAUAGAGGCUAAAUACCAUUCGCAUAGAUAAAUAUCUGAUUUCUAUUUAAUUCAUUUACUGAAAUAACUAAAUUAGAUUACUAAUUUAUAGAUUAUAAGGUCUAUAACACUACUUAUUUAAUAUAUUUAUAAAUAAGUAGGCUUAAAAUCAGCCAACCAACAAUACUUCAUCGUAGUACUAUUUAAAAUAACUCACCAAAAAUAGAAUAAUAUAAUAGAAUUGAUAAAUAAUCUAAAUUAAUAAUUAUAAUGUAUAUAUAAGUAAUUUACAAAAUUAGUAUAAGGAACUCGGCAAAAUAAAUAUUCGACUGUUUAACAAAAACAUUUCCUAUAGAUUAUAAAAUUAUAGGUAUUUUCCUGCCCUAUGAAAUCUUAAAUGGCUGCAGUAUACUAACUGUACAAAGGUAGCAUAAUAAUUAGCCUAUUAAUAGUAGGAUAGAAUGAAAGGAAGCACGAAAUAUUAGCUGUCUCAUACCUUUAAAAUAAAAUUAUUAUAAAAGUGAAGAAACUUUUAUUUAAAUAAAAGACAAGAAGACCCUAUAGAGCUUUAUAUAAAAUAUAUAUUUAAUAUAGCUAUAUUCGAUUGGGGCGAUCUAGGUUCAUAAUAAACAACCUAUAAAUCCUUCGAUUUAUAAUUCAUUUUAUUGAUCUAACAUAACCAAAAAAUUAAGCUACCUUAGGGAUAACAGGCUAAAAUUUCUAAAGAGUUCAUAUCGACAGAAAUACUUGGCACCUCGAUGUUGGCUUAAGAUACCUAAAUGACGCAGUAGUUUUAUAAGGUGGUAGGUUUGACCAUUAAAAUCUUACAUGAGCUGAGUUCAGACCGGCGUAAGCCAGGUUAGAUUCUAUCUUUAUUUAAAAUACUAUAUUUACCUCUAGUACGAGAGGACCUAGGUAA